AUGACGCAAGGAUCCAGUCAAAGGGAAGCGCGUUCACGUCCCGUUGGUUUCGAAGUCACUCUGAAGGACUGGCUGAGACCAUUCGGUCUCCGUCCUCCGAAGCUCCUCGAGACAACCGGAGAGAUUGAAACCACCGGCCGAUUUCAGGGGGGAAGGGAGGAGGAAGGCAACCUUGCAAGGCGAGAAUUCCGAUCCGGAUCCCAUCUAAGCCAGCGUGGCCACCAAGUAGGCGCGGAAGCUCCUGGAUGGAGAGGCGACGGUACUGUGCUUUUUGCGAGGUGGGAGGUGAAACUGGCGAGGAAAACGACAGGUGCAGUGUGUCUUUCUACAUUAAAAAAAAUGCUGUGUUUCUACGUUCAAAGCCUGUUCAUUUUUCAGCUGAAAUGGGUCAGUAAAGAAUGAACCCUAUCCUGCUGAAGUUGAACGCGUUUAAAUCUCACUAAUUUAAGUGGGAGAGUUGAAACCCAAAUCUUUUUUUUACUGAAAUCAGACUCCUUAACUUUGGUUGGAUACCGUUUAGAUACAUAAACACUUCCAGCAAGUCCAUCCUAAAUACGUCUCGUCGCGGGAGACAGAUCCCGUUCAAUUGUACAUUUGAAAUCAGAAAUGCAUUAAUAGGUAAUUUAACCAUACCGGUUAAAUAAAUAUGCUGGGAUACUAUUAUACUGGGGAAGGGUGUUUGUCAUAGACCUACGCCCGCCACACCUAAAGUCCCCUCUUUGUGGGCAAACAUGGUCACGCUGCAAUCCUGAACUAAUCAAAGAGCAGCGCGAUCCUAAGAACAUUGACUUUGCUGUAGAUUCUAGGGGGUACCAUAGGACUCAACUUCCAAGUAGCUAAGGCACUGGAUGGCAGCCUACUUUGUCUAGACGCUUUCCCAAAAGAUCAAGAUGAUCUACAAGUCAUUGUAUGAAGGACCACCCAUUUUGAAAUUAGUCCAAGAUUUUUAUUAGGAUGUAGAUCCCAGCGAAGGCGCUUCGGGAUCGAGGUGUCCAGCUGCGUUCUGGAGCAGGCCCCUAACUGGGAGGAAAUGAACUCCGUUCAGUUUACAGGACACACUUCCGAGUAAACAUCAUUAACAUUGGGGAUGUCACAAUGUUUAAAUGUUGGUGUUAUUAACGCUUGAAGGCUUGUUCUAAGCCAGACACAGCGCUUGGUUUCGCAGAACCGGUAAGAGCGACAAUACUUUGCAUUUUACUUGGGGACGCAAAGUGCUCAAAGCGCUUCUUAUUCACUGUCCGGAUUGUCUUUAAAAGCCAUGCCGUCAGGAAGAUCAGAAGCCUGGUGUGAUCAGGCUAUGGCUACUGAGGUGAGAGUCACCUGCCUCACAGCUCAGUGUGUCUAAACACUUGCAGCGGAUCCUAGGCGUGUCUACUCCAAAGUAAGCCCCCCCCCCAAUUAAAUAGGACUUAUUUCCCAAAUCAAUGUGCGCAGGGCUACAGCCUUUCUGAUGGAAACUGAUAUAACCACGGCUGGGUGCGCUGAUACGGGAGAUCUUCUGCUCCAGGACGGGUCUUCUGUUUCCAGCUACGCAGCGGCUGUAUUAAUUAAUUUUAGAUUCAGGGCUAAAGAGAGCGGGUCCCUCUUUAAAUCACAAUGUGCGCCUAUUACUUUGCUUGCUUCUCGUGGUCUUGUGGGAGGGGGCUCUUCAGAGAGGAAAUGUUUUUACCGUCAUCCUUACUGCAAAGGCCAUAAACCAGCCCGGCUGCUGUCUUCCUGCUCAUUCAGCUAAACUGGGCCAGGGCAUUUGCGCCCAAGUUCUGCUCUUGUGGCACCACUUCCGUGCGUACACUUCCACUGACUUCUGUGCGAAUCUGCAGCACCCAGAGCUGUUUCAGCGCCUCGCCAUCUUAGUGGGAAGCGACCUAGAGGUGGAGGUGAGGCCCCUCUCACUGGGGGCUCCUUCUCAACCCUAGCGACCCUUUCAGCCACCUCUUGGGAUGCCCGGCAGCUGGUAUUCAGAGGCCUCCUUCCUUUAAUACUGGAGGUAGUAGAGCCAACAGCACUAAAAGCCAUUGGGCAUGGCCAUUGGUUUAGGAUGCAAUCCUAUGCACACUUAAAGAGAGGUAGGUUUAAUUAAACUCAAUGGGGCUUGCCUAGACAGACACAGGACUGCAGUUAAAAGGUAAAGGUAAAGGGACCCCUGACCAUUAGGUCCAGUCGUGACCGACUCUGGGGUUGCGGCGCUCAUCUCGCUUUAUUGGCCGAGGGAGCCGGCGUUUUGUGGCCAGCAUGACUAAGCCGCUUCUGGCGAACCAGAGCAGCACACGGAAACGUUGUUUACCUUCCCGUACCUAUUUAUCUACUUGCACUUUGACGUGCUUUUGAACUGCUAGGUUGGCAGGAACAGGGACCGAGCAACGGGAGCUCACCCCGUCGUGGGGAUUCGAACCGCUAACUUUCUGAUCGGCAAGUCCUAGGCUCUGUGGUUUAACCCACAGAGCCACCCGGUCCCUAGGACUGCAGUUAGAUGACUUUAAAAGAGGGACUAUAGGUUAGGCCUAUCAAGGAUUCUUUGGCACAAGAAGAGUGUGCUUUGACUCAUUCCAGAUGCUGUAUUGGGCCACAG
ensembl:lncRNA